AAUAUUCUGCCUUGUUCGUGUAAUUAUAGUUUUUAUAAUCCAACACAUUUUCUUAGGGAAUUCAGCUCCGGCUGUGGACUGUAGACCUCCCGCUUUGCGGAAGAAGGGAACGAGAAGCAUUCGGGCGUUUACCCACCUGCUUCGUGCGGGUUUUAUUCGCUAUAAGACGGCAAGGCGGAGUAUUU
rnacentral:other from 1 species